GUGUCGGAAAUGCAAUGGUAUAGCACAUGCUCCCGGAAAGAGUGAGGUCUGGGUUCAAAUCCCGCCUGACGCA